rnacentral:rRNA from 1 species
UACGUAGGGUGCAAGCGUUAAUCGGAAUUACUGGGCGUAAAGAGUGUGUAGGCGGUGCUCUAAGUUUGGUGUGAAAUCUCCCGGCUCAACUGGGAGGGUGCGCCGAAAACUGGAAUGCUUGAACGUGGGAGAGGAAAGCGGAAUUCCUGGUGUAGCGGUGAAAUGCGUAGAUAUCAGGAGGAACACCUGCGGUGUAGACGGCUUUCUGGACCAUUGUUGACGCUGAGACACGAAAGCGUGGGUAGCAAACAGG